AGGUUCCAACACCAGAAGCAUACGUUUAUUAAGGAGCCUUUAUUAGAUGGCGCAUUCUUGCCUAACAGGCCAGAUCAUGUGCCAUCCCGGAGAAGAUGACUCCAAAGGGUUACUCUGGCAGAACUAAUCUGCUUACACCUGCUCUUCCUCACCUGACAGAGCCGGGCCUUCUGAUGCCUUUUCGUCUGAUCAUUAAACUGAACCGAAUAUGCCUUCAGCUCCACGUGAAAGAGAGUAAUUAGUAUACUUGUCAAGCCAGGAAGUCAGGCGAGCAGCCCCAGACAAAGAACAUCAUGACGCCAGUGCUGACUCAAAGAACUUGCAACAGACCAAUGGUUUUGUGAAUGGUGCAGCCUACUUUCUUCAUCCCCAGAGACAGCCAGAUCCCUUUCUUAUUGCCGAGAAUCUAAACAGAAGCAACGAACUACAUAAAAUAUCACUGAAAGGAGAAUUCUUAAACAA